rnacentral:rRNA from 1 species
AUUGAACGCUGGCGGAAUGCUUUACACAUGCAAGUCGAACGGCAGCACGGGGGCAACCCUGGUGGCGAGUGGCGAACGGGUGAGUAAUACAUCGGAACGUGCCCGGUCGUGGGGGAUAACGUAGCGAAAGUUACGCUAAUACCGCAUACGAUCUGAGGAUGAAAGCGGGGGACCUUCGGGCCUCGCGCGAUCGGAGCGGCCGAUGUCAGAUUAGGUAGUUGGUGGGGUAAAGGCCUACCAAGCCGACGAUCUGUAGCUGGUCUGAGAGGACGACCAGCCACACUGGGACUGAGACACGGCUCAGACUCCUACGGGAGGCAGCAGUGGGGAAUUUUGGACAAUGGGCGCAAGCCUGAUCCAGCCAUUCCGCGUGCAGGACGAAGGCCUUCGGGUUGUAAACUGCUUUUGUAUGGAACGAAAAGGCUCUGGCUAAUACCUGGGGCUCAUGACGGUACCGUAAGAAUAAGCACCGGCUAACUACGUG